GUACUUGCUUUGGCAGCACAUAUGCAAAAUUGGAAUGACACAGAGAAGAUGAGCAUGGCCCCUGUGCAAGGAUGACAACGCAAAUUCAUGAAGUGUUCCAUAUUUUU